UGGUGGUGCUGGUGUUGCCUUUGGUCCCAUUUAGCGUUUAUAAAGUAGUGCCAAGCAAGGACAGCAUAAAUUGGCAAACAGAGGAGAAUGGAGUAAAGAGGAGCCCUUUUAGGAAAAAUUGAGUGGCAUUCCAUCCAAUAGGCAAGUUUGCACUUCUCCUCUUUGGGACGUGCCCAGGAACACGAUGGCAAGAGCAAUGGCUCCUCUGUGGCCCUUCAUCCCAGUGGCUGCCUCAGGUGAGUCCUCUUAUGAUCUCACUAGACAUUGAAUAUUAACUCACAAACUAGAGUAGCUCCUCACAAGUGCUCAUUUUUAUUCAUCAUCUGUAAAUACCAGUCCCAUGAAGCUACAUGGAAACCAGUGGCUUGUUUUGACUCGGCUCCUACAAUCACAGUGAUAGUUGUAAAGAAUCGUAGCCAUAGAUACACCUCAUCCCAGGAAUUCUGCUCUCGAUCAUCUCCUCAAGAAACUAUUACAGAAAUAUCACAAGGAAGUGAGGUGAGUUCACGACUGGACGCAGGUCACCACUGUGUACCUGGACACAUUUGUCGGUGCUGUAUUGGAUGUGGUAAGGGCCAUCUUGUCCUUUCCUCUUCCUGUUACCCUUCUGUAAAACCACCUGCCAUUUAUGCAAGAGCCUAGGAGGAGUUUUAUUCUGAGACUCUAGUUGAGCUGGUAGGGAAGUUGUGCUAGACUCAUUUUAGCAGUGAGCGUGAGGCAAAAUGUUUAUUAGGCAAACCACACUUUCUAGCCCCCAACUUACAUUGUGAGGGGCAGAUAGUCUAAAAAUAUGAG
rnacentral:lncRNA from 1 species